rnacentral:lncRNA from 1 species
ACAGUGGACAGCUCAGUAGUCUGACAGCAAGAAUAUAAUGCUCAAUUCUAAACUGGAGAAUGUAAACACAGCAAGGAAAUCCUGGAUACAGCGUUGAAUUGUACCAUGCUAGACUGGCUGCUGCUCUCCAUGAUUUUGAUCUGUCACACAUCAAUAAGAGACCUAGAACUUGCUUUCCUGAGAGCAAGAGAUGAGUAGUUUUGUUUGUAGGACACAGUUAAUUUUGAUGCAACUAACCUAAAAGAUAAGCAUAUUCUUUCUCAACCACUUUGUAAAGCUGAAAGUAAAUUCAGUAGCCUAGAAAUUGAUCUCCAUCAUACAAGAGAUGCUCUCAGAGAAAAGACCUUGGUUUUAGAAUCUGUACCAAGGAUACUCUAUGUGUAAGCCAAACACAGUGUCAAAUGAAGUAAAUCAAGCAAAUGUAUUAGAAUGAAUAAGAUAAAGUAAGUAAAUACAUUGGAAAGCAGAAGUCUGUAAAAGAGGGAUUAUCUUGACUAUAGAGUAAAAAUAGAAAGCCCCAAAACUUAUAUGGAAACAAAUUUAGUACAACAAGAAUGUGGAAACAAAUUUAGUACAAGAAAGAGACCAAAGAAAGAGUAAACAAGAUAUAGUAGAAAAGUUAAAAGAAAAUCUAUCUUUGCAGACACAAGCAGCAUCUUGAGAGAACUUAGUUAAGAGAGAAUAAAGUUGCUUCAAUAAGAAGUCGCAGGGAGCUGAGAAAGAUCUGAAAUCUGAACUCUCAAAAAUGAAAACUUUCCAUAAGACUAAUAAAACUGAGUUGGAAAAAUAUAAGCAGCUCUAUCUACAAGAAUUAAAAGUUAGAAAAUCAUUGGCAACUAAACUAAACAAAACCAAUGAUAAAAUAGCAGAGGUUAAUAGCAAACUUCUUGUAGAGAACAGCAGAUCAGAUUUUUACACCACUCUUAUUACGAGGCAGUCCUAGAGUCACU